rnacentral:lncRNA from 1 species
GUUUGGACCUGAUGAUCUUUCGAGGUCCCUUCCAACCCCUUCAAUUCUGUGAUUCUGUGAUACUGUUAAAUCAUAUACUUCUUAUUCAGUGAGAAAAAAAUAGCAUAUAGAACACAGAAACUUUGCUUCAGAAUGAAUUGUGAACUAUGACAUUACAGAGAUACUUGAAUAAACGCUAAAUUUUUGAAUAGGUAAAUGAAACAGCAGAAAAGCCAUGCACAAGCUGAACCUGGAACUGCUCUAAGGUUGUUCUGUAUUCAGUUUUUAACUCCAGAACACUAUAAGUUUAGUUUCCUGCCAUGAGACAAUUCAAGAAGAGGAGCUGGAAUUAAAGUAAAAAAGGAGUCUGUCUGGAAUCAGUAGCUUGCAUGACAAGGCAGAAACCAACCCAAUAUGACUAGGAUGGCAGAACCUUGCCUUCAAAAAGUCUUACAUGAAAUAAAAGUAAACAAAAC